UUCUCUCAGGCUUCUGACUGCUCAGUGAAUGAUUCCCAGUCUCUACUUACCUUCAUAGAGACCACUAAGAUUGCUGCUCUCGAGCCUCGCUUCACCGCUCAGGCCCUAUGUGAUUGUCUGUCACAGCAAGAAUACAGGCAGAAGCUGUUUACGGGCGGCAGCCAACUGCUGCAGCUGCAGGUGGAUCUGGAGAGGUGUGCUGCCGCAGUGGGGCAGGCGUGGAGCUGACGACCACGUCCCCGUCCCAACAUCCCCGGUCCCUCUCCACCAUGAGCACCACAACCACUCACCCCAUCCCCUACUAACAACCCUGGACCUGGGACAGACUUUGUCCAAUUCCCCCCUUAAAUCCAAAUCCAACUCCCCACCCCCACCCCCAUUUAUUCUCCCUAACCCUAUGUACAAACUGUCAUAGGCGGAAUUACUUUUGAAAUUAUUUUUGAAACACCUGGACUGACCGCAACCAAACCCACCCAAGAAUCCAAACACUAAGCAUGAUCCAGAGACCUUAAAUCUCCCCCAUCUCCCAGGCAGACACCAGCAGCCCAGAGAUCAUGUCGUUCUACCCUGCCACCACGCAUUUGUUUCCCAUUCGUAAAACUUUAUUAGAAAUCGCAGGGUUGCACAAGAGCUCGUCUGAAAUGACUCAGGAAACCUCAGGGUUGAGUCGAGGAGCUUGCAAGUUAUUAGUUGCCGUUGUUUGUCUCACGUUGUUUGUUUGUUUUUAACAUAGCCAGUAUAUCAGGGACCAUACCUUAAAAAAAGCCAAUAGUGCCAAUGCAAGAUCUUUAGCAGGACCUUGGCGGAUCACUGCUUAUCAUCUUCCACCCAGGUCAAUAAUCCUCUGGGGUUUAGUCUGACCUGGCCAAUGAGUAGCUGGAGUCUCCUGACAAGAAAAAAAAAAAGACUGAGACUAGGUAGUAAGGGCUCGAAACCUGGAACAUUCUUGAAAGUCUCCUGUUUUGAAAGCUGCUCACUUGAGUUCUGUUCUUGGCUGCCGUAGCGCACGCUUUGCUGGGAAGGAGACGAGGCUAAGUUGAGUACACAUGCACAGCCAGCCCGCACGUGUCAUUUCCUGCAGGUGAAUCGCAAAGCCUGCCCCCAAGGCGGCCCCCUGGUCUCUGCUUUGACGUUCGGCCUUUGUGGCCACGCGGGUUACGUAACGCUCCCUCCGAGCCUCGCAGCCAAUCAGCCAGAAGAGGUACGUGAGUGAUGUCAUAAUGGAGCCUUGGUUGCGGCUGCUACUUCUGUUUCUCCCCAUUGUUCUUUUUCUCCUGGGAGUUGGCUAUGCAUUAUACCUCAAGUGACGAAGUCUGAAAACUUAUUUUUUUUAAGCUCACAUUUUAUGGGAUUUACACUGCUCAGGUUUGAUGUAAAUAAGCCAAGUUUGUGCAUUUUUUUUAUCAUGAAUAAAUUAUAAAUUGUAUGCCCUUUGUUUAAUGUAAUUUAGUAUUAACUUGGAGAGACUGUUCUUCACUAGAAACUGUAAAUAGUUUUUAUGUAAAUGCACGUUUUUGAGAAGUUUGCUUUCAUUAAAAACAAAUGAUUUCAUA